UUUUUUCAAGAUAGUUUAAGUGGGGUGGCAUUGAGCUGGUAUAUGAGAUUGGACAACACCAAAAUUCACAAAUGAAAAGACUUGAUAAAUAUGGUUGU